rnacentral:rRNA from 1 species
UAAGACAGAGGGGGCAAGCGUUGCUCGGAAUCACUGGGCGUAAAGGGCGCGUAGGCGGGAUGGCAAGUCAGUCGUGAAAUCUCUCGGCUCAACCGAGAAACGUCGGCUGAUACUGCCGUUCUUGAGGGAUGCAGAGGAGACUGGAAUUCCCGGUGUAGCGGUGAAAUGUGUAGAGAUCGGGAGGAACACCGGUGGCGAAGGCGGGUCUCUGGGCAUUUCCUGACGCUGAGGCGCGAAAGCGUGGGGAGCAAACGGGAUUAGAUACCCCGGUAGUCCUGGCCCUAAACGAUGAAUGCUUGGUGUGGCGGGUAUCGAUCCCUGCCGUGCCGAAGCUAACGCAUUAAGCAUUCCGCCUGGGGAGUACGGUCGCAAGGCUG